GACGAACGCUGGCGGCGUGCCUAAUACAUGCAAGUCGAGCGGACUUUCAAGAAGCUUGCUUUUUGAAAGUUAGCGGCGGACGGGUGAGUAACACGUGGGCAACCUGCCUGUAAGACGGGGAUAACUCCGGGAAACCGGGGCUAAUACCGGAUAAUAUCUUUCUUCGCAUGAAGGAAGGUUGAAAGGCGGCGCAAGCUGCCGCUUGCAGAUGGGCCCGCGGCGCAUUAGCUAGUUGGUGAGGUAACGGCUCACCAAGGCGACGAUGCGUAGCCGACCUGAGAGGGUGAUCGGCCGCACUGGGACUGAGACACGGCCCAGACUCCGACGGGAGGCAGCAGUAGGGAAUCUUCCGCAAUGGACGAAAGUCUGACGGAGCAACGCCGCGUGAGCGAAGAAGGUCUUCGGAUCGUAAAGCUCUGUUGUCAGGGAAGAACAAGUACCGUUCGAAUAGGGCGGUACCUUGACGGUACCUGACCAGAAAGCCACGGCUAACUACGUGCCAGCCGCCGCAGUAA
rnacentral:rRNA from 1 species